UACCCGCUGAAUUUAAGCAUAUAAGUAAGCGGAGGAUAAGAAACUAAAUAGGAUUCCUUAAGUAAUGGCGAAUGAACAAGGAUGAGCUCAGAAUGAAAAUCGGGGCCUAUGGCUUUGAAUUGUAGUCUUGAGAUGUGUUGCCAGCGGAGGCGCAGAUGUAAGCCUCUUGGAAAAGAGCACCAACGAGGGUGAUAGUCCCGUUUGUCAUCUGCAGCCCCCCGUGUACGGCGCAUGUUCUAAGAGUCACGUUCCUCGGGAUUGGAGCGCAAACGGGUGGUAAAUUUCAUCUGAAGCUAAAUAUUGGUUCGAGACCGAUAGCAAACAAGUACCAUGAGGGAAAGGUGAAAAGGACUUUGAAAAGAGAGUUAAAAGUGCCUGAAAUUGCUGAGAGGGAAGCGAAUGGAACCAGCUUUGCUUGGUGAGAUUGUUGCAUGNUAUAGNUAUGGNNUGUUAUGGUAACGCAAGUGCCCUAGCUUGNCACCANNUNGACGC
rnacentral:rRNA from 1 species